GAAACAUUGUCCUUAGAUCACAUGGUGCUGUGAUGUCAUCCGCUUACGACGGGAUACAGAGCUCCCUUGCUAUGAUAUGCUGUGAUGGCAUGCUCUCACCUUGACUGCCUCGUUGUCCUCCCGCACCUCUUCGGACACUUCCUCCGGGGUCCGCUUCCAGCACGUCCUCCACGGCCUGGUCCAGUCGCUGGUCCAGCUCGACAGUGGACAGCGGCUGCCAGUCCCGCUCAACCAGGUCCAAGAUGGCGCGGCCUGCCGCUAAAACACAGCCGUCGACGUCCAUUUGCCCGGCUAGGGAACCCCGUCACUGUUCUGUACUGUUAGCCAUGUAGCUAAAUGCUAACGGAUGUGGCGUUCGAUGGCAAAGGGAAACGCGACAAUCAUUUCAUCCCAAUAAAAAAUUGGCCGUGGUGUGUCCAGGGGCAUUUCAACAACACUUCAGAAAAAUAAUAACUAAGUCCGCUAACCCUUAGCUUUUAGGAAGACUGGGGAAAUAAGAUCAAAUUAAUAUAAAUUAAACAUAAUCCGAGUAAACAAUUGGACUGUGGUGUGUUCAGGGGCGUUUCAGAAACACUGCGGAAAACAGUCCCGAGUUAAAUCCGUAUGGGAUGGAAGGCAGCCUUAUCUUUGAGGAAUACUCCGGAAAUAAACGCCAGUAAAAUUAUGUCAUCAACUGUAACGACCUGAUCGAUAAAAAUUAGCGUUAGCAAAUUACCCGAGUUAAAACUUCAGAUGCGUGUAAGGACUCUUCGGUAAUACAUAUCAAGAACAAGCCAAACCUAAACGUCGUCGUUGUGAACAAUGUUAUAAGCAGGCAAACAAGGAGCAAGGAGCAUGAAAUGAGGGAAGCGUGAGUAUUUUUGUAAGAAACCAUUAUCUGUGACCUGUUCAGGGCCUUUGCAAAACACGAGUCAAAUGUUUGAAGGUCAAAGAAGGGACAAACACCAAUUUUAAUUGCCAAUCAAUUCCAACUUUAGAGGGUGGCCCAGCCUUAACAAGACACCAUUAAUUAAGCAAAAUGUUUUUUUCUACAGAUGUCUCCACCAUAAAUAUAAUACACUACUGAUCAAGUGUUUAUUUCUUGUUUUGAGAGGGGGGGGGGUGGUCUGCAUUUUAGUACUGUAUUAUAAACAAGCAAAACACAAACUUUGAUCAGUUAAGAUUGUGGAGUAAACAACGGGGACCAAACAGAGAAAACAAGCAUACAUUUCUUUAAAUAUUUCGGCCUGAUUAAAUGUUUGUUGGGAUUAAAAUGAUCCAAUAUACUCUUAGGAAAUGGUCUCUAUUACUUUUUGCUUGGAAUGGCAAAAACAAACUAUUUGGGCCAAAGAAAGGAGUGAAAUCCUAACAGUUUGAUCAAUACAAACAGAAAAGCGGAAAAAGGUCUCUCCUGCUAGACGCCGUCAUUGAAGCCAGUAAAGCAACAAGAAA